ACCUCGUAGAUCAAGUUCUCUGUCUUUCAGUGCAUUUGUAAACUGCGCUGACUGCAGAAUGAGAUCAGCUGUAAGCUUCAUAGUAUCUGAAUGGUGUUGGCACUAUGUUUUCACCACACAACUAGCAAUUGUUCACCAAAUAAUCCUUCUCCAAAUACUAGAAAUAAAUGAUUUUUUGACAAAUUUUUGCCACUAGCUUUGUGAUUUUUGCUCCAAAACGUUUAUGUUUUACACAUGUCCUUGUUCUGCGC